rnacentral:lncRNA from 1 species
CUAAUUUUGGGGAUUAUGAUGACCUAUAGUUGUUAAUUUCUGUGUCAUUCAGUCUCUUGGCAAUCAUAAUACCUAUUCUUUUAUAUAUAUAGUGAUAUCGUUAUUACGACAUGUUAUGUCGAAAUUACGACAUAGCAAAGUCGUUAUAACGACAUAUCAUGUCGAAAUUACGACAUAGCGAUGUCGCAUGUCGUAAUUACGACAUAAUUAUUAUUUUUGAAUGGCCCUUAUCGGCUUCCGUAGUCUUCCGGCUAUUUUUGUUUUGUUUUACUAUCCUAAUAUAUAUAUACAAAAAAGUUUAACUCCGCCACAUGUUUAUAUCUCGACUAGAAGUCGGAAACGUAGAGUACAUGUCAGAGGCCCCUUUUGCUGUCCCAUUUCAACAAUACGAUGUAGGUGGUCGAUUUUCAAUAGUCUGUGUUAUUUCCUUUUCUAAUAUUAUGACUUUUUAAAAAGUAUGGAAAAUUCAAAUUUUGAAUUUACUCUUUAUUUGCAUUAGAAAUUGAUCCAUGUUUCUCUCAAAUACACCUAGAAAUAAUCAUUCUAAUAUCUAAAACGGUCAUAGGAAAUG